rnacentral:misc_RNA from 1 species
UCUACUUAAAAAAAAAAAUAAUAAUCAAUAGGAAAAUAAUUUAAACUUCUUCUAUCCAUAUAAAAAUUUUAAUUGAGGCAAGUACCCUAAAUUAACCCUGUGGUAGGACCGUGAACAAUUUUUGAGUAGUAAUACAGAAAUUAUUUAAAAACGAAUGUUAUCCACUAUUAUUCAACUAUUCCCAAAAACAAAAUAUGGAGGAAGGAGAUUUCAAUUUCAAAUAUAUUUCAGAAGAAGAUUUUAAUAAAACUUACAAAAAAGUCAGUCGCGAUCGACAAAAACAAAGAGAUGAUCAACAUUGGAUCAUUUGUAUGGAAUCAAUNAAAGAUACAGACUCAGACUCAAAAAAAACAUAUACUAUUAAAAAUGAUGCAGAAGUUAAACAAAGUGAACCCUCAUUUAAUAAGUGCAGUAACAAUCAAUUUAGCACACAUGAUCCAGUAAAUUUGUACUCAUUGCAUGAUCUUUUUGAUCUUAAACAUAUACAUGGUCUUAGAAACCGUUUAUUUAGAACAUUUAAUGAGUUUUCUAGUAUUUUAGAGAAUGCUCUUUUGCCACCAGUUUUGAAAAGUCCUAAAAAAAUACAAAUUAAAAUCAAAGAAUGUGAUCAACCAAAUGAUUAUAUAUUUGAUCUAAAUUCACUGAUCUCUGAGAUUAAAAAAGAAUCAAAAAAUGAAGAACUGCACAAAAAAAAUAAUAAGACCACAAGAAAAUUCUUUCAAAUAAAGUUGAUCAAAUGCUAUAAAUUAGCGAUUAAUGCCACAAAGUUAUGUUCAAAAACCUUGGCAGCAGGGAUUUAUAACCCCAUACAAAAAAUAGAAAAAAAAUAUUUAGGGAUAAAACGUUAUGAUUAUGGAAAAAUGUAUAAUCAAAAAAAGAAAGAAAGUUUUGAUUUAGUUCAAAAAUGCAAAGAUUUAGAGAAUAUGUUGGAGGAAUGUGGUUAUAAAGACACAGACAAUGACAAUAAUUAUAGUAAUAAUAUUGAUACCAAUAUAUUGAAUGAGCUUUCUAAUAAAGCUUUAAGUAAACCUAAACACUCAGCCUACUCAAAUCGAUUAAAUAUGUAUAAUGAAGACAAACCAAAAUUGGGAUCAUGUUAUGCUCAGAAAUUGUCAAAAAAAUCAGUUGAAUUAAUAAGUAAUAAAGUUUUAUUAGACAAUGCCAAAACUGCAAUAGAAGAAUAUCCAACUGCUUCAAAAGUAUUGUCGAAUCAAUUAAAAACAACUUGCAAUGUUGGCCUAUACAUAAUUAAAGAAAACAUCUGGAGAAAUUUUCCUAUUAAAAAUAUAAGGCUCUCUCAAAAUGGAGCUAUUCUAUUAAACAUACCUCCAGGAGAGGCAAAGCAACAUCAUUUAUAUAAACAACAAUCAUUAAAAACAGUACAUGGUUUUAAAAUCUUAUCCAAAGCACUCUCUACUACCUUUACCCAUUAUCCAUGUCGUUAAAAUGCUACGCCAAGCAUGUUUCAUGGGACGAAAAAAAGCAACAUCAAGCAGUUGAGUGAUGUGUGUUGAAUUUUGGGGCAAAAACACAAAUUCAAUAUUAUACUUCGAACAGGCCUUAAUUCCCUCCAUAGUCAAGUGGGUCGAUAAAUUGUCACCAAUUAUUAAUUUUUUACCAGGUAUGUUUCUAACGAACGGUACAACUAUUUUCAGUAACCAAUCUUCAAAACAUUGAACAUCAAACCACCCUGAUUUACUUCUAUUUUACCUAGAAUUUGGAGGUCCUCUCCUGAUCCAAGAAUCGUACAUAUGAAUUACCUUGUAGACCGUGUAAGGUGGUAGGAGUUCUCCAGUUCCAGUACAUGCAAACAUUAUAGAUUUCGAGGCCUUACUCGAAUUCAUUACUCUUUCAGGAUACUUGCACCCUCUUUUAGUAAUAACUUUAACUCAACCUGAGUCAUCGCUCAGAUUCGUUUCGUCGAAGUAUUACAGAAUCAAUAAUAGAUGACCUGAUUGAUGAAGUAUUAUCAAAAAUUGAUUAUGAUUCAAUAAUCAAAAAGCUUAUAUUAA